GAUGAAGAACGUAGCGAAAUGCGAUAAGUAAUGUGAAUUGCAGAAUUCAGUGAAUCAUCGAAUCUUUGAACGCACAUUGCGCCCGCCAGUAUUCUGGCGGGCAUGCCUGUUCGAGCGUCAUUUCAACCCUCAGGCCCCCAGUGCCUGGCGUUGGGGAUCGGCCGCUGGCGUCCUUCGGGGCGCCUGGCCGGCCCCGAAAUCUAGUGGCGGUCUCGCUGUAGUCCUCCUCUGCGUAGUAGCACAACCUCGCAGUUGGAACGCGGCGGUGGCCAUGCCGUUAAACACCCCACUUCUGAAAGUUGACCUCGGAUCAGGUAGGAAUACCCGCUGAACUUAAGCAUAUCAAUAAGCGGAGGA
rnacentral:misc_RNA from 1 species